AUUGAACGCUGGCGGCAGGCCUAACACAUGCAAGUCGAACGAGUGGCGGACGGGUGAGUAAUGUCUGGGAAACUGCCCGAUGGAGGGGGAUAACUACUGGAAACGGUAGCUAAUACCGCAUACCAUCGGAUGUGCCCCGAUGGGAUUAGCUAGUAGGUGGGGUAACGGCUCACCUAGGCGACGAUCCCUAGCUGGUCUGAGAGGAUGACCCGCCCCACUGGAACCUGGACACGGGCCCGACCCCUACGGGAGGGAACAGGGGGGAAUAUUGCCCAAUGGGGGCAAGCCCGAACCAGCCAUGCCGCGUGUAAGAAGAAGGCCUUCGGGUUGGAAAGGUCUUUCAGCGAGGGGGCGUUACUCGCAGAAGAAGCAACGGCUAACUCCGUGCCAGCAGCCGCGGUAAUAC
rnacentral:rRNA from 1 species